rnacentral:rRNA from 1 species
CCCUUAGAUGUCCUGGGCUGCACGCGCGCUACACUGGAAGUUACGGAUUGAGAUACUACCUUGUCCGAAAUGGUCCGGGUAAUCACCUAAAAGCUUGUCAUAAUUGGAGUGGAUUAUUGUAACUAGUAAUCCUGAACGAGGAAUUCCUAGUAAGUCCCAGUCAACAGCUGGUACUGAUUACGUCCCUGCCCUUUGUACACACCGCCCGUCGCUACUACUGAUUGGACGUUUAAGCAAGAUUUUUAAACACUGACAGUGUGUAGUUCACGCUAUACUACAGUGAGAAGAAGAAGAUCGAGCUUACUUGUCUAGAGGAAGUAAAAGUCGUAACA